rnacentral:ncRNA from 1 species
UCUCCAAUUUUCAAAUAUGGUUAUCUCGGUGAAGAAGUGUUUUUCAGCACUGCCGAGGGACAUGGAAGUGAGUUACCUUAAUUCGAGAUAUUGGAUUGAGAAGUGGCUUAUACAGGAAAGUGAUUUCUGGUAUGGAGACAGAAACUGUCAACAAAAUCAUGUGGCGUACCAUUAUAAAGAAGCCAAUAGCAGAAUCCUUGUGGCUGGCGAAUAAUAGACGCUUGCGGUGCAAGAAUAACCCGAUGGGUGUAUGCGGUGUGAGAGACCACUCACUAUAUUCGGGAAAUCUCAUAAAGCCGGUUUGCCUUGAAUCCGGGAAUUGAAAACCGGAGUAUAACACAAGAAAUUCGUUAAAGUAGCGGUAUGGCAUUACGAUCGAUAAAGAAAUCAAUGCAUGGUUGAUGUUUUCUUCUGAAAGAACCGUGAAAUUUACAGGUAUCAAUCCCGUGUGUGCUUGUCAGCGGUAAGAAGCCAAGGGUCGCACCCAAACGCUCAGACUUAUCGUCACACUGGCAGAAUAUGGCUGUAUUUAUAAUGGAUAAGACGAAGGUCUAACCAUAUUUGAAACAAUAA